CCUACGGGGGGCUGCAGUGGGGAAUAUUGGACAAUGGGGGGAACCCUGAUCCAGCCAUGCCGCGUGUGUGAAGAAGGCCCUCGGGUUGUACAGCACUUUCAGUGAGGAAGAACGCCUGGUGGUUAAUACCCAUCAGGAAAGACAUCACUCACAGAAGAAGCACCGGCUAACUCCGUGCCAGCAGCCGCGGUAAUACGGAGGGUGCGAGCGUUAAUCGGAAUUACUGGGCGUAAAGCGCGCGUAGGUGGCUUGAUAAGCCGGUUGUGAAAGCCCCGGGCUCAACCUGGGAACGGCAUCCGGAACUGUCAAGCUAGAGUGCAGGAGAGGAAGGUAGAAUUCCCGGUGUAGCGGUGAAAUGCGUAGAGAUCGGGAGGAAUACCAGUGGCGAAGGCGGCCUUCUGGACUGACACUGACACUGAGGUGCGAAAGCGUGGGUAGCAAACAGGAUUAGAUACCCUAGUAGUC
rnacentral:rRNA from 1 species